UACGGAGGGUGCAAGCGUUAUUCGGAAUUACUGGGCGUAAAGGACGCGUAGGCGGGUUGGCAAGUCAGAUGUGAAAUCCUACAGCUUAACUGUAGAACUGCAUUUGAAACUGCUAACCUAGAGUAUGGGAGGGGGAGAUGGAAUUAGUGGUGUAGGGGUAAAAUCCGUAGAUAUCACUAGGAAUACCGAAAGCGAAGGCGAUCUCCUGGAACAUAACUGACGCUAAGGCGUGAAAGCGUGGGGAGCAAACAGGAUUAGAAACCCCAGUAGUCC
rnacentral:rRNA from 1 species